AGUGAACGCUGGCGGUAGGCCUAACACAUGCAAGUCGAACGGCAGCACAGUAAGAGCUUGCUCUUACGGGUGGCGAGUGGCGGACGGGUGAGGAAUACAUCGGACUCUACUUUUUCGUGGGGGAUAACGUAGGGAAACUUACGCUAAUACCGCAUACGCCCUACGGGUGAAAGCAGGGGAUCUUCUGACCUUGCGCGAUUGAAUGCGCCGAUGUCGGAUUAGCUAGUUGGCGGGGUAAAGGCCCACCAAGUCGACGAUCCGUAGCUGGUCUGAGAGGAUGAUCAGCCACACUGGAACUGAGACACGGUCCAGACUCCUACGGGAGGCAGCAGUGGGGAAUAUUGGACAAUGGGCGCAAGCCUGAUCCAGCCAUACCGCGUGGGUGAAGAAGGCCUUCGGGUUGUAAAGCCCUUUUGUUGGGAAAGAAAAGCAGCAGGUUAAUACCCCGCUGUUCUGACGGUACCCAAAGAAUAAGCACCGGCUAACUUCGUG
rnacentral:rRNA from 1 species